CCGCCCUGCCGCCGGCCUGGGCGUCAGUAGCGCGGGGUCCUGCCCGUGAGCCGCUUGGAGUUUGUGAGACUCAUGGCUUAGACCCCUGGCUUUUGUGUUUAGUUUGGUUUCCACCCAUCCUAACUGCAGCGAAAAAGCUUUGAGACCAGAGCUCCAGGACAAAACCCCAAAGUUUGGUUUGGAGCAUUGUAAGAAGAGGAACGAAGGACAAACAUUCUGGCUAGCACCCACUGUGCUAAUAGAAAACAUGACAAACACCACUUUGCCAUUAACUGUUCAUCACCAGCACUCUGCUGCGAGCUGCCCCCCUUCAUAGGAGCAUUUCUUUGCCUAAUCCUCUCCAACAAGGUGUGUAACUCACUCAAAAUCAAUAGUGGCACGAACUCAUUUGGUCUCUCCUAGGACAACAGAAUUUGCCAGCUCAUCAGAAGGACCUUCAUGACGUUGGCUGGCAAAACCUUGCUGGUCUUUAGAGUUGCGUUUGACGUGGCAUAACGAAAUGCUAACCUGACCUCAUCAGCUUAGAUACCUCCCUGUCCUUUGGGAAAACAGAGUUGUGCAAUACAGCCUGUUUUAAUAACUGCUGGCAAAUGCAGAUCAACCUUUUCAGUCCAGCAAUCGCAGACAAGACAGAGCUCAAAGUGUAGCUGUAGGCCUUACUUACUGAACAGUAUUCCAGUCCUGCUCUGGAGAUGUGAUUGGAUUUCCUCACGGGAUCUCCAAUUGUGCUCACAGUAUCUUCAAGUGCCUCCAAAAUAGUAGACUACUAUGAGAUGAAGUAUUCCUGAUUUUACCAUUAGAAAGCUGAGCUGUGGAAAGGCCAAGCAGAAGGACUCACUCAACUCACUUCAGUUUGAAAAUACUUCAAGAAGAAGCCACUCCUUGUAAGGAAUUUCACUUGAAAGAAGACACUUUGUUUCCAAAAUAAAGAUGUUCUUGAAGAA